rnacentral:tRNA from 1 species
GCCUCGGUGGUGGAACCGGUAGACACCAGGGACUUAAAAUCCCUUGACCUUGAUGGUCGUGCGAGUUCGACUCUCGCCCGAGGCACCA